UACGAAGGGGGCUAGCGUUGCUCGGAAUCACUGGGCGUAGAGCGCACGUAGGCGGAUUGCUAAGUCAGGGGUGAAAUCCUGGAGCUCAACUCCAGAACUGCCUUUGAUACUGGCGAUCUCGAGUCCGGGAGAGGUGAGUGGAACUGCGAGUGUAGAGGUGAAAUUCGUAGAUAUUCGCAAGAACACCAGUGGCGAAGGCGGCUCACUGGCCCGGUACUGACGCUGAGGUGCGAAAGCGUGGGGAGCAAACAGG
rnacentral:rRNA from 1 species